rnacentral:tRNA from 1 species
UUAGUUGAAGCCAAAAUAGAGGCGUUUCAUUGUUAAUGAAAUAAAUGGAAUUAAUAUCCCAACUAAA